UGGGACAGUGGGACAGUGGGACAGAGCCUGCUCUUGGAACUCGGCUCCACUGUGAAGAAGCAUGGGCCAGCCUUCCGGGUGAAGGGAGACCCAUUGCCCAGGUACAUCGUUGCUCUGUUGACAGCCUGCCGACGGCCAGACACGUGAGUGGAACAUCCUAGUUCGUGCAGCCACAGUUGGUCCAUCAGCCGACCACAGACAACAGAAGAGGGCCCAGUGGGACACCUGCUGAUAAGCAGCCGCUCUCCUGGUAUCUCUCUCCACCGUGUUGGGAUUCCCUGCUGGUUCCCAAUCCUCUGCCCAGAGACCAGGGGUGUGGUCAUGCGGGAAGCAAGAGAGGGACUCCAACGCGCAUACCCGCAUACCGUUGACUGAUUACCACCGUCCCUCCUUCUGCAAAAUAGGAAAGCUGGACAGAGCCACAGAACAGCCCAGACUCCCUGUGCUGUGUGACCCUAGUCCCUCCCUGUUCCUGUGUGCACAGGGCCUGUCUGCUUCCUGGUGAGAAGAGGACAGUGUGAAAUCAUCUUCUGAGACAGGAGUGUGACUAAUGCCAGCACCUUCAGCGGACAUGGGGAAAGGCUUUCCUCUGUGACCUUGGCUGAGCCCUGAUGGGUGGGGCUGGGCUUAUUCACAGGAAAUGGGUGACCAAGGAAAGAACAGCAGAGUAGAAAAGCCGUCACCCAAGACAACCAUCGCUGACUGCCAGUUCCAAGAUCCGCAGACACGGGACGGCCGGUGGUCCCAGCACACUUGGCAAAAUCCACCUUCUGUGGGCAGAAGCUCUGAGCAGCCCAGCUGGCCUUGACCACCCCAUCCUACGGAGCUGGAUGGCAGACCCACGUGUCCAUUUUAGAGCCUCAUGGCUACGCAGAGAAAUGUGUGACCCUGAGCUUGCUGGCUGAUUGAGUGUAGUUCUGACCCUGAACAGAAAUGGAUUUUGUGUCACUCCAGCUCAUCUGGAAUCAGGUCAGCUCCCUGCUGUCCCUGCCCCACUGACUGUUCUGUCCGGUGCCUGCUGCACUCAGGGUGCAGGCCUCUUCUCUCCUGGGAGUCAUGGCUCACCAGCAUUUACAGCAUCUUGCUUGCACAUGGUACCCCCUCCCCACUGCCCCCUGCCAAGUCACUAGGUAGGCAAGCCAGGGGCAUGUUGUGUCCAUUUUAUAGUAGAGGUGGGCUCAGAAGGGCCCGAGCUUGACUUAACGCUCUUCUGCUGCCAUCUUGAAAUUUUAAUAAUCUUGUCUUUGAACUUGUGUUUUGCAAGUGAACUCUGAUGGGAUCUUGAAGCCCAUGCAGGAGUGGAAGAGGUCCAUUGACUCAUGUGUCAAUUUUUCCUUGCUGUCCUACCUGCGUACAGUGUUCUCGGAGCUCCAUGAGCACAAAACUCCAGUGGGUCCCCAGAGGUACAGCAGCACUGCGAGACUCAGAGUGAGUACAAUAUGUGUGUGUUACAUUCAAGGACACCCGAGCAAGGGCAUGGAUGCCUCCAAAAGGCCACACUUUGCAUUUGAAGCAGAACUUGCUUAGAAUGCAGAAAGAAGGGUAAGGUUCUAGGGAACAUGAAUGACCAAGAAACACUGUCUUAUUCUUACUCAGGUUACUUCCCUGUGUCAGCCAGUCGCUUACUGGGAAAGUGAGGGCACAGAAGGGAGUAGACACACAGGCACCCAGGGUUCCCUUUCCUCCAGUCCCUCCUCACUCAGCAGGAGGGCAAAGGCACAGCGUGUGGGUGGAAUGUCAAGGAGCGACGUAAAAAAUGUGGAGUUAGUGCCGUGUUUCUACUGCUCUGGAAAGGACGAAAAUACUUUUGCGUACAAACUGCAAAAAAUGAAGUGUGUGAUUUUGAUGAUUCCACAUAUGAGUUAAAUGGUCUUAUAUUUGCAUUUAAAACUGCCACUGCACAAUGCAGUGUUGAAUGGUGUAGUUAGAAUGGCAUUAAAUAGCAAAUAAAAACACCAUGACAAGUGGAGAUGGAGGGUAUCGUGAAAGAAAGAAGCAUGUUUGGUAUUUUAGCAAUUUUAAUGGCACUUUCCUCCUGUUUUCUGCACAAACAUCCCACAUUUUCGUGUUGAACAAGGGGCCUUGCAAUCAUAAAGACAGCCCUUGGUGGGGGGUAGGGAAUGAGACAGAGAGGAUGAGAAGCCUGUCGAGAUCUUGGAGUUAUUUGGGGGCAACCCCAGAGCAGACGGUGGUCUCUGAGGAAUCUGGGGCAGGAUCCACCUCGAUGAUGAUGAAGAUGAUGGUGAUAAGCCCACCGUGUUGCACCAAGCAUGAUACUUGCAGGGGCCCACUCAUCUCCAUGGCAACCUGGAGGCAGAGACAAUUACUAUCUACCCUGCAGAGGAAGAAAGCAAAGCUCUGAGAACCGCUGCAGCCUGCCUGAUUCUCUAUCUGCCGAGCGGCUCAGCCAGGAGCCCUGGACCAUCAGACCAAGGUCACCGCGUCUCCGUUCUCCCACCUGCAGGGGAGAACACACCUGAUCCCUUGGCCUCUGUCUGAUGACCUCAGGCUCCUUUUGGACUCACAUGUGCAUUUGGGAAGGAGUCUUGUGAGCAACUGGUCCAGCCUCUGUCCCUCUGACUCAGCAUCUUGUUCCUGUCCCAGGUUCCCACCUGCUCUACACAUUGCUCCGGGGGUAUGGAGGAAAAGGCGGUGGCUGGGAUGGUUCCAGAAGAAGGUCAUCCAUGGAGUCUUACUUUUCCUCUGGGGAUCGGGGCAAGGAGGCUUUUGUUGGUGUUUGGUUGCCUCAGGUUAUAUGUGGGGAAAUCAGUGCAUUAUUCACAUGGGGACCUGAAUUUGUUCUUCCCUCCAGCCUUGGAUUGAGGUGACCUGUAUGGGCAGCUCCCCUCUCUGCCCUGUCUCUCUUAGACCACAUGCUUCUCUACUCACUAGAACACAGUUGCAGCAGAUGCUUCUCUACUCACUAGAACACAAGCUGCAGCAGAUGCUUCUCUACUCACUAGAACAUGGCUGCAGCAGUUGCUUCUCUACUCACUAGAACACGGCUGCAGCAGAUGCUUCUCUACUCACUAGAACACAGCUGCAGCAGUCUUCUGGUGGGGCUGUGGUGGUGGGAGGAGAGCUCUUCCCAAGCCUCUGGGAGCUUGUCAGCACAUGAGCUGUGACCACACCCUUGUUGGGAGAAGCAUCAGCUCCUUAUCCUUAUAAGUGGCAGCUAUUAAAAACCAUGAUCUUAGAAAAGCAAAAUUAAUGCUGGCAGCUAAUAGGGAGGGCUCAUUGUAAGCCAGUUCCCAUGACUGGUCCUUCUCGGCAUUGGCACAUCGCAAUGGUUUUAUGAUGAAUUGUAAUCAGUCCCAUUUUACAGGUGCAAAAAGCAAGGCUUACCACGGCCUCUUCACUGUCAUGUGUCAAACCCUAAGCCCUUUUCUAUGAAGCUCUGCAGGAAUCAUUCCAUUUUCAUCUCUUAAUGACC